rnacentral:tRNA from 1 species
GCCAGCAUGGUGUAGUGGUUUGAGCACUGGACUAUGACUGUGGAGAUCAGGGUUCAAGUCCCUGCUCAGGCA